rnacentral:ncRNA from 2 species
AUGAAGGCAGUGAGAGACACCUGACUAAAAGGUGGCCGACGGGGCAAUAUCACAAAACGCCAAUGUGUGAUAGAAACUCUCAGGCAAAAGAAUUGCUGCUGGAUG